GAUGAACGCUGGCGGCGUGCCUAAUACAUGCAAGUCGAGCGAACGGACGAGAAGCUUGCUUCUCUGAUGUUAGCGGCGGACGGGUGAGUAACACGUGGAUAACCUACCUAUAAGACUGGGAUAACUUCGGGAAACCGGAGCUAAUACCGGAUAAUAUUUUGAACCGCAUGGUUCAAAAGUGAAAGACGGUCUUGCUGUCACUUAUAGAUGGAUCCGCGCUGCAUUAGCUAGUUGGUAAGGUAACGGCUUACCAAGGCAACGAUGCAUAGCCGACCUGAGAGGGUGAUCGGCCACACUGGAACUGAGACACGGUCCAGACUCCUACGGGAGGCAGCAGUAGGGAAUCUUCCGCAAUGGGCGAAAGCCUGACGGAGCAACGCCGCGUGAGUGAUGAAGGUCUUCGGAUCGUAAAACUCUGUUAUUAGGGAAGAACAUAUGUGUAAGUAACUGUGCACAUCUUGACGGUACCUAAUCAGAAAGCCACGGCUAACUACGUGCCAGCAGCCGCGGUAAUACGUAGGUGGCAAGCGUUAUCCGGAAUUAUUGGGCGUAGAGCGCGCGUAGGCGGUUUUUUAAGUCUGAUGUGAAAGCCCACGGCUCAACCGUGGAGGGUCAUUGGAAACUGGAAAACUUGAGUGCAGAAGAGGAAAGUGGAAUUCCAUGUGUAGCGGUGAAAUGCGCAGAGAUAUGGAGGAACACCAGUGGCGAAGGCGACUUUCUGGUCUGUAACUGACGCUGAUGUGCGAAAGCGUGGGGAUCAAACAGGAUUAGAUACCCUGGUAGUCCACGCCGUAAACGAUGAGUGCUAAGUGUUAGGGGGUUUCCGCCCCUUAGUGCUGCAGCUAACGCAUUAAGCACUCCGCCUGGGGAGUACGACCGCAAGGUUGAAACUCAAAGGAAUUGACGGGGACCCGCACAAGCGGUGGAGCAUGUGGUUUAAUUCGAAGCAACGCGAAGAACCUUACCAAAUCUUGACAUCCUUUGACAACUCUAGAGAUAGAGCCUUCCCCUUCGGGGGACAAAGUGACAGGUGGUGCAUGGUUGUCGUCAGCUCGUGUCGUGAGAUGUUGGGUUAAGUCCCGCAACGAGCGCAACCCUUAAGCUUAGUUGCCAUCAUUAAGUUGGGCACUCUAAGUUGACUGCCGGUGACAAACCGGAGGAAGGUGGGGAUGACGUCAAAUCAUCAUGCCCCUUAUGAUUUGGGCUACACACGUGCUACAAUGGGCAAUACAAAGGGCAGCGAAACCGCGAGGUCAAGCAAAUCCCAUAAAGUUGUUCUCAGUUCGGAUUGUAGUCUGCAACUCGACUACAUGAAGCUGGAAUCGCUAGUAAUCGUAGAUCAGCAUGCUACGGUGAAUACGUUCCCGGGUCU
rnacentral:rRNA from 1 species